AAACCAUGACGGGGGCAAAGCCUAUGCAUUUCUUUGAAACGCUCCCACGCAUCGUAAAGAGAUUCCCAUCUUUUUGAGUAAAUUGUGUGAUUUGAUUCCUUAAUUG
rfam:Medicago truncatula strain A17 chromosome 8, whole genome shotgun sequence.